GAGUUUCACAUACGCAUGUAAAUAUGUAUAAAUAAUUUAAAUGGGCGUGCAUAUAUUAUUUACUUAAUUGGUUUUAUACAAUGAUGUAAUUCUGUUUAAUACAAGUUAUAAAACUACUAUUGAAGAGCGACCAAAGCAACGUUGGCCAAACCGCACACAAACGACCUUGAUUAGUCUCGCUUUCAUGCUAUGCGAUAUUGUUGUGUUUUGUAGUAAAUUGCGGUAUACACGACCUUUAGUUAUUGUCCAAUGGGAUGCGCAGCAUGAAUGAAGCUCCAGUCGCCAAUCUUCGGGCUUUUGUAUCUAUUUUUACAAUUCGUCUUGGAAUUGCGGUCAUAGUGUCAAUAAGAUGACGAAUGGGUGUUAACGAAUUGUUGGCGUUUGCGAUUUUUCUUCAAACAAAGACCUACCAACAUUUCGUAUUCGGAAUAUUUAUAUAAAUGCAUAUAUAUGUUAAUUACAACUGGAAAGUUGUCCAUUGGGAAUAUGGUGUUUAGAAUAAAACAAACAA